AUAAGCGUCUGUGACAUGGCCCCGCGGUGACUGGAAUGCUUCCAUUCUGGAGCGAUCGUCCAGCCAAUUCCGAAGCACCUAAACGCACAGCAAGGCCAUGGUAUCCUUCAUCAAAUAACAGAAAAGCAUAACCUUACACUGUGUUAUAAUUUU